GUGCUCGCUUCCACAGCACAUACACCAAAAUUGAAACAAUAUAGGGAAGAUUAGCGUGGUCCCUGUGCAAGGAUGACUCGCAAAUUCGUGAAGCAUUCCAUAAUUUU
rnacentral:snRNA from 1 species